rnacentral:rRNA from 1 species
GACGAACGCUGGCGGCGUGCUUAACACAUGCAAGUCGAACGGUGAAGCGCCUUCCUUUUUGGUGGGUGUGGAUGAGUGGCGAACGGGUGAGUAACACGUGAGUAACCUGCCCCCUUCUUCUGGAUAACCGCAUGAAAGUGUGGCUAAUACGGGAUAUUCUGGGUCUGUCGCAUGAUGGGUCUGGGAAAGAUAUUGUUUCGGUGGGGGAUGGGCUCGCGGCCUAUCAGCUUGUUGGUGGGGUGAUGGCCUACCAAGGCGGUGACGGGUAGCCGGCCUGGGAGGGUGGACGGUCACACGGGGACUGCGACACGGCCCAGACUCCGACGGGAGGCAGCAGUGGGGAAUAUGGCACAAUGGGCGCAAGCCUGAUGCAGCGACGCCGCGUGAGGGAUGGAGGCCUUCGGGUUGUGAACCUCUUUCGCCAGUGAAGCAGGCCUGCCUCGUUUGUGGGUGGGUUGACGGUAGCUGGAUAAGAAGCGCCGGCUAACUACGUG